AAUGGCCGCAGUAUCUUGACUGUGCAAAGGUAGCAUAAUCAUUAGUUUCUUAAUUAGAAACUGGAAUGAAAGGUUGGACGAGAAAAUAACUGUCUCUUUAUAAAUUUUUUAGAAUUUUAUUUUUAAGUUAAAAAGCUUAAUUUUUUUUAAAAGACGAGAAGACCCUAUAGAGUUUUAUAAUUUUUUUUAUUAAUAAUUUAUUUUGAAUUAUUUAAAUUUUAAUACUAAUAUUAUUUAAUUGGGGUGAUUAAAAAAUUUAAAUAACUUUUUUUUAAUAAAAACAUAAAUUUAUGAAUUAUUGAUCCAUUAAUUAAUGAUUAUAAGAUUAAAUUACCUUAGGGAUAACAGCGUAAUUUCUUUUAAGAGUUCUAAUCGAUAAAGAAGUUUGCGACCUCGAUGUUGGAUUAAAAUUAAAGUUUGGUGUAGAAGCUAAAUUCUUAGGUCUGUUCGACCUUUAAAAUUUUACAUGAUCUGAGUUUAAACCGGUGUGAGCCAGGUUGGUUUCUAUCUUUAAAAUAUAUAAAUAUUUUAGUACGAAAGGACCAAGUAUUUUUAAUAAUUAUUUUAUAUGAAUUUUAAUAAUUUA
rnacentral:rRNA from 1 species